rnacentral:misc_RNA from 1 species
AUGACGUCGUCUGGACCGCUCGGAGACCCGGGAGAUGGCUUGUUCACUGUCAUAUCCCGCAUCACACCACCAACAACAACGUCGAACAGAAAGGAGCGGGCGGUCUAACGCUGGUUCUCAACGUGCAAUAAGGGGCAAUUAACAAAUUCAAGGAGAGCUUAAUGAAACACAUGAGCAAAGACAUGCAAAAGUGCAUCGACGAAUGCUUGCGCUGCUACCAAGUGUGUCUCGGUUCGGCCAUGACGCAUUGCCUCGAGACCGGCGGAAAACAUGUCGAGCCAGCGCAUUUCCGGUUGAUGAUG